CCUACGGGAGGCAGCAGCUAAGAAUAUUCCGCAAUGGACGAAAGUCUGACGGAGCGACGCCGCGUGGAUGAUGAAGGCCGAAAGGUUGUAAAGUCCUUUUGCUGGGGAAGAAUAAGUCUGGGAGGGAAUGCCCGGAUGAUGACAUGAACCGGCGAAUAAGCCCCGGCUAACUACGUGC
rnacentral:rRNA from 1 species